rnacentral:rRNA from 1 species
GUCCACGCCGUAAACGAUGGAUACUAGCUGUUGGGAGUAAUCUCAGUGGCUAAGCGAAAGUGAUAAGUAUCCCACCUGGGGAGUACGUUCGCAAGAAUGAAACUCAAAGGAAUUGACGGGGGCCCCGCACAAGCGGUGGAGCAUGUGGUUUAAUUCGAUGAUACGCGAGGAACCUUACCAAGGCUUAAAUGUAGAUUGACCGAUUUGGAAACAGAUCUUUCGCAAGACAAUUUACAAGGUGCUGCAUGGUUGUCGU